AUUGAUGCGUGUGUACGUAACCACUCUGUCCACUGUGUUGCUGUGUAGUUUACAUAGACAGAAAGAUUUCUUUUGAAACAAAUAGAAUCUUCAUCUAAAUAUGAUUUAGACUUUUCAAAAUAUUCAUCAUGGAUUAAAACUCUAGAUCUACAAAGGUGAACAAAUGUCUCGUUUUGUAAAGGAUCUAGAUUAGAUCUAGCACUACUAGUAACUAGCAGAUAUGCUUUCCGAUUACCAAAAGAUGAUGAAUGGUGGCUUAGAAAGAAAAAAUGGCCAGCGGUAAUACCUUUGGCUUAGUAGAAGGAUUAGAUCUACGUACCAUUAAAGGAGUACUCUAAAAUCUGCCAUUAACAUUUUCAAGACGAAGUAUCAUGGACAGUAUUGAAGGAUUACGUACUAUAAAGGAAUACUCUAAAAUCUGCCGUUAACAUUUUGAAGACGAUGAAGUAUUGUGGACUAGCUACUACACAUGAAAGAGUAGAGAGUGCAUUAAAAAAGUGUUAAGUCUCAGGAAGUCGCAGGAUGGCUGCCUGGUCUUGUGGUUUACGCGCUGGACUGUCGUUUGGAUUUAUCGAUGUCUCUGGUUCAAACCCUGCCCGCUCCCAUCCCCUGUCGUCAACUCUGAAGGAACAUCCGAAACAUGUCAAACAUAUAAGGAUAUAAUAGUAAAAAAAACAUAUCAGUGAUUUCAGUGAAUUUCAAGAUAGUGUAAGAAAUAUAAAUGUGUCUUCGUUUUGGAUGUUCUUGGUCAAGCUACUUCUUAAAACUGUAGCCUACAUUUAUGAAAUUACUAAUUUGUUAGAACUCAUAGAACAAUAUUCUACAAAAAAUUUUACCAACAAUACUAAUAGUUUUUAAAUGCUAUUAAAGAAAACACUAAGUACACAAAUAAAAAAAAUGACAAUGAAAUAAAUAUAUUAAAUUGACUUAAACCAAACAGGACUAAAUAAGAAGACCAUGUCACUUUUUAUGGACUAUCUAAAUUAAGUAUUGUUUACCAACAUCCUGCAGAUUCCUGCUUAUAUAAGUUAUUGACCAUGUACACUACAUAUAUUUAAAGGUUUAAGAUACAGUGGGAUAAAUCAAAAAGAUGAAAAUAUUUCUUUUAUCUUUCCUAAUUUUAAUGAUUCAUCAAAACAUCAUAAAGGUUCUCUGUAAGUCUAACUGUUAGAUGUUAUAUUAUGGGUAAUUAUCUUGUUUUUUGAAGUAACUUGUGUAAUCUAUAAGAUAAGAUAUGUUGCUGGUUAUUGUGUUCAUGUGGUUCUAAAGAACUUUAAUGACUGCAUGACUGGGGAUGGGAGCGGCCAGGGUUUGAACUUGGGACCAUCAAUAAAUCUAAGCGACAGUCCGGAGCGCAAGCCGCUCCACCAGGCAGCCAUCCAUAUAUAUAUAAUAUAUAAUUUAAAUAACAUUAACAUUAUAUGAGCAAACCGCUUGAACAGGCAGCCAUCCAUAUAUUUAAAUCACAUUAACAUUAUAUGUAAUCAUUGUAUUUUUAAAAUGUGUAUUGUAAAUUAUUGAAAUUUUUUUUUUCCAUAUGUUCAUUAAGCAAUUGCAAUAAAAACUUAACUCAUUAAAGUGGUAUCCUUUGUCUGCAAAUAAAAUUGCUAUAUAACACCACA